GGCAGAACUGCGGCAAGGAUACGCGGUCAGGCGCACUGCAGGGAACGGUGGUGGAGUAGGUGUGAGUCAAGGACGGCUAGGAUCCGGGGCAGGGCCGGCCAAAUCGUGGCGGGCGGCGGAUUUCGACAAUACAGGGACAUCAACGGCAAGCACUGCUGGUUUUAAGACUCCAAGCUACUAUUUUAGUAAAAUAUUUGAUGUGCUAAAACAAUAAUGCGGAGAGAAGUCGUUUCUCCAAUGAAAAAUAAUAGCUCAAGAAGGUGAUUUCAGAUCUUCCUUGUGAGGUACUUCAAAAAUGGCUGAGGUGCGUUGAAUUUUAUGGAAUGAAUUCCUAGGCACCAACAGAAGGAUUUGUGCAAUGGUGUAACAAGUUUGGUGUUGAAAAUAGCGUUUAUUUCUGUGAUGUUUCAUUCGUGAAGGAUGCCAAUGAUGCACAAUGAGGAGAUGGUUGGGCCUUGUGGUGUGCUUACGACAGCAGCUC